rnacentral:rRNA from 1 species
GUUUGAUCCUGGCUCAGGACGAACGCUGGCGGCGUGCCUAACACAUGCAAGUCGAGCGGAGACAGUGAGUAGCUUGCUAUGAGCUGUUUUAGCGGCGGACGGGUGAGUAACGCGUGAGCAACCUUUCCCAGACAGGGGAAUAACACACCGAAAGGUGUACUAAUACCGCAUAAGACCACGGGAUCACAUGGUUCUGGGGUAAAAGAUUUAUCGGUUUGGGGUGGGCUCGCGUCCGAUUAGGUAGUUGGUGAGGUAACGGCCCACCAAGCCGACGAUCGGUAGCCGACCUGAGAGGGUGAUCGGCCACAUUGGGACUGAGACACGGCCCAAACUCCUACGGGAGGCAGCAGUGGGGAAUAUUGCACAAUGGGGGAAACCCUGAUGCAGCGACGCCGCGUGAGCGAAGAAGUAUUUCGGUAUGUAAAGCUCUAUCAGCAGGGAAGAAAAUGACGGUACCUGACUAAGAAGCCCCGGCUAACUACGUGCCAGCAGCCGCGGUAAUACGUAGGGGGCAAGCGUUGUCCGGAAUAAUUGGGCGUAAAGGGCGCGUAGGCGGCUCGGUAAGUCUGGAGUGAAAGUCCUGCUUUUAAGGUGGGAAUUGCUUUGGAUACUGUCGGGCUUGAGUGCAGGAGAGGUUAGUGGAAUUCCCAGUGUAGCGGUGAAAUGCGUAGAGAUUGGGAGGAACACCAGUGGCGAAGGCGACUAACUGGACUGUAACUGACGCUGAGGCGCGAAAGUGUGGGGAGCAAACAGGAUUAGAUACCCUGGUAGUCCACACUGUAAACGAUGAAUGCUAGGUGUAGGGGGUAUCGACCCCUUCUGUGCCGCAGUCAACACAAUAAGCAUUCCGCCUGGGGAGUACGGCCGCAAGGUUGAAACUCAAAGGAAUUGACGGGGGCCCGCACAAGCAGUGGAGUAUGUGGUUUAAUUCGA